rnacentral:rRNA from 1 species
UACGUAGGGUGCGAGCGUUAAUCGGAAUUACUGGGCGUAAAGCGUGCGCAGGCGGCUUUGCAAGUCAGAUGUGAAAUCCCCGGGCUUAACCUGGGAACUGCAUUUGUGACUGCAUGGCUGGAGUGCGGCAGAGGGGGAUGGAAUUCCGCGUGUAGCAGUGAAAUGCGUAGAUAUGCGGAGGAACACCGAUGGCGAAGGCAAUCCCCUGGGCCUGCACUGACGCUGAGGCACGAAAGCGUGGGGAGCAAACAGG